GACGGAGGAUGCAAGUGUUAUCCGGAAUCACUGGGCGUAAAGCGUCUGUAGGUGGUUCAAUAAGUCAACUGUUAAAUCUUGAGGCUCAACUUCAAAAUCGCAGUCGAAACUAUUGAACUCGAGUAUAGUAGGGGUAAAGGGAAUUUCCAGUGGAGCGGUGAAAUGCGUAGAGAUUGGAAAGAACACCAAUGGCGAAAGCACUUUACUGGGCUAUUACUGACACUGAGAGACGAAAGCUAGGGUAGCAAAUGGG
rnacentral:rRNA from 1 species